rnacentral:rRNA from 1 species
GACGAACGCUGGCGGCGUGCCUAAUACAUGCAAGUCGAACGCAGUGGGGACGGGGGAGGAACACGUGGGUGACCUCCCAUAAGAGGGGAUAACACUUGGAAACAGGUGCUAAACCGAUACUGAUGGAUGGACCCGGGGUGCAUUAGCUAGUUGGUGGGGUAACGGCUAACCAAGGCCACGAUGCAUAGCCGACCUGAGAGGGUGAGCGGCCACACUGGAACUGAGACACGGCCCAGACUCCUACGGGAGGCAGCAGUAGGGAAUCUUCGGCAAGGGACGAAAGUCUGACCGAGCCACGCCGCGUGAGUGAAGAAGGUUUUCGGAUCGUAAAGCACUGUUGGUAGAGAAGCGGUAUCUAACCAGAAAGCCACGGCUAACUCCGUGCCAGCAGCCGCGGUAAUAC